UACGUAGGGUGCAAGCGUUGUCCGGAAUCAUUGGGCGUAAAGCGCGCGUAGGCGGUCAGGUAAGUCCGGUGUGAAAGUCAAAGGCUCAACCUUUGAAUGCCGCUGGAUACCGCCUGACUUGAGUCCGGAAGGGGCGAGUAGAAUUCCUGGUGUAGCGGUGAAAUGCGCAGAUAUCAGGAGGAACACCAAUGGCGAAGGCAGCUCGCUGGAACGGUACUGACGCUGAGGCGCGAAAGCGUGGGGAGCAAACAGG
rnacentral:rRNA from 1 species